AGUGAACGCUGGCGGUAGGCCUAACACAUGCAAGUCGAACGGCAGCACAGUAAGAGCUUGCUCUUACGGGUGGCGAGUGGCGGACGGGUGAGGAAUACAUCGGAAUCUACUUUUUCGUGGGGGAUAACGUAGGGAAACUUACGCUAAUACCGCACACGACCUACGGGUGAAAGCAGGGGAUCUUCGGACCUUGCGCGAUUGAAUGAGCCGAUGUCGGAUUAGCUAGUUGGCGGGGUAAAGGCCCACCAAGGCGACGAUCCGUAGCUGGUCUGAGAGGAUGAUCAGCGACACUGGAACUGAGACACGGUCCAGACUCCUACGGGAGGCAGCAGUGGGGAAUAUUGGACAAUGGGCGCAAGCCUGAUCCAGCCAUACCGCGUGGGUGAAGAAGGCCUUCGGGUUGUAAAACCCUUUUGUUGGGAAAGAAAAGCAGCAGGUUAAUACCCCGCUGUUCUGACGGUACCCAAAGAAUAAGCACCGGCUAACUUCGUG
rnacentral:rRNA from 1 species